AGUGAACGCUGGCGGUAGGCCUAACACAUGCAAGUCGAACGGCGGCACAGUAAGAGCUUGCUCUUACGGGUGGCGAGUGGCGGACGGGUGAGGAGUACAUCGGAAUCUACUUUUUCGUGGGGGAUAACGUAGGGAAACUUACGCUAAUACCGCAUACGACCUACGGGUGAAAGCAGGGGAUCUUCGGACCUUGCGCGAUUGAAUGAGCCGAUGUCGGAUUAGCUAGUUGGCGGGGUAAAGGCCCACCAAGGCGACGAUCCGUAGCUGGUCUGAGAGGAUGAUCAGCCACACUGGAACUGAGACACGGUCCAGACUCCUACGGGAGGCAGCAGUGGGGAAUAUUGGACAAUGGGCGCAAGCCUGAUCCAGCCAUACCGCGUGGGUGAAGAAGGCCUUCGGGUUUUAAAGCCCUUUUGUUGGGAAAGAAAAGCAGCAGGUUAAUACCCCGCUGUUCUGACGGUACCCAAAGAAUAAGCACCGGCUAACUUCGUG
rnacentral:rRNA from 1 species